UUUCAGUGGCAGUCGAAAAUAUUCCGACCGUAUUACGGGCGGUCUCAAUUACAAGACCUACCUAUCGUAUUUAUUGUUAAUUUUGUUAAUUUGUUUUCUUCCUGAACAUAUAUGUACACUAUUUUUUUUUAGUACUGUUUAGGCGCACCCGACAUUAAUCAGUAUUUAACAAUAGGGAAUGAUCGAGUAUCUCCAACAUUCACUUGUCUCUUGAAGGAUCAAUUUUGAAUUUCUGCCAUCCGCACAAAACAUGUAUAUUUACGAUGUAAUUUGUUAAAUGUGGGAGUUUGGCAAUAUACAAUCAAAGUAAGCAAUAUACAACAGGUAGAAGAUCUGUAUUUGUAAAUUGGUAUUUUGAUAUCACCUGAUUAGGAAGUGUCUCUCUGAAAUUUUCUGAAAAACUUACACACACAUAAUCUGCCUUUUUUUCGUAUGGUUAUGAGAUCUAUAGGAAUAUAGAGCUAUAGGCCUAAUUGCAUGCAAGUCUUUACAAAUUAUAUAUUUUGGUAUGCUAUAGUUGAUUUUUUUUAUAGACUACUAGUCAUUUGGUAGGAUUUUUUUUUUUUUUUUUU
rnacentral:lncRNA from 1 species